ensembl:lincRNA 1700029E06Rik RIKEN cDNA 1700029E06 gene
GAGAUCCCCGGGGAGCCCGAAAAACAGUCCACAUUUCUUUUGUGCCAAACAGGUUAUUCCAGUUUAUUAGGGAAGCUUGACUUAAUUCUUUUGAAAAGUCCAGUCCACUCAAAUUUGAUGGAAAUGAGCAAGGCUUGAAACAGGGACAGGGAAACUGUCAAAAGCUUUGUGAACCACAUCACCACCUCUGCCUUAUGGAGGCCAAGGCCAUAUUAGACAACUGAAAAGACAAUUAAAAAAAAAAAAAACUUCUCAGUGUCUCACACGCGAUAUUGUCUCACCAGCAAGAACACACGCGGUGAGAAACCGGAUCCUUCUGCAGCAACUUUAUUACACCAGUUUCAACAUGAAGAGGCACGAAUUUACUCUUGCACCUGUGCACAUUACUUGUUUACCAGUUAGGCACAGUGGAGGCUCAUGAUGGCAAUUGCUCACGGCUCCCCACACCAGUGGAACCAUAUAGCUGAAAAGGAAUGUGAUUUUCUCAAGUUGAAACUAAGGAACAGGACUAACGAUUUUUGGAAAAUUAUUUAAACCUUUUGAGCCUCUUUUCACACUUUCGAUAUUAAAUUAGUUCAAUUUUUAUUAAAUAUUCCAAGUUUGUGAAACAUGUGAAACAUGACAACUACUUACAAAUACAAGUUUUGU